AUGGACCAAUCCAUCCCUUUUUCCCGUGCAUAUGCAUCGGACUCGGAUGACGAUGGUCCUGAUGAAGAAGUUGAUGAGGAGGGGUUCACGCCGAAGGAGGCCGAAGCAUUCAAGAAGGUAUUCGGGCGGGAUCACAAGACAUCAUUGUUCAAGGAUCUUAGUCUCGCGGAUGAAACCAUUGUGGAUGGUGGAAAAUGCAUAUCUCUUGGAGCUAGGCCAAGUUCUCAC
rnacentral:rRNA from 1 species